rnacentral:rRNA from 1 species
GACAGAGGGUGCAAACGUUGCUCGGAAUUACUGGGCGUAAAGCGCGUGUAGGCGGGUUUGCAAGUCAGAUGUGAAAUCCCCGGGCUCAACCCGGGAACUGCAUUUGAAACUGUGAGUCUUGAGUGUCGGAGAGGAAAGCGGAAUUCCUGGUGUAGAGGUGAAAUUCGUAGAUAUCAGGAGGAACACCGGUGGCGAAGGCGGCUUUCUGGACGACAACUGACGCUGAGACGCGAAAGCGUGGGGAGCAAACAGG